rnacentral:rRNA from 1 species
GUUCGCUUUUUACUUGGGCCCCCUAAAACGUCCGNNUAGCCGGUCNNUGGUGCAUUUCGUGGGUAAAUCAACCCGCUCAACGGGUUGAAUUCUGCGAGCACGGCCAGACUUGGGACCGGGAGAGGUGUGGGGUACUCUCAGGGUAGGGGUAAAAUCCUGUCAUCCUGAGAGGACCACCUGUUGCGAAGGCGCCACACUAGAACGGAUCCGACGGUCAGGGACGAAACCUAGGGGCACGAACCGGAUUAGAUACCCGGGUAGUCCUAGGUGUAAACGCUGUGGACUUGAUGUUGGGGGCGCUCCGAGCGCUCUCAGUGUCGAAGCGAAGGUGAUAAGUCCACUGCCUGGGGGUACGGUCGCAAGGCUGAAACUCAA